rnacentral:rRNA from 1 species
AGUUCGAUUCUGGCUCAGAUUGAACGCUGGCGGGAUGCUUUACACAUGCAAGUCGAACGGCAGCACGGACUUCGGUCUGGUGGCGAGUGGCGAACGGGUGAGUAAUGUAUCGGAACGUGCCUGGUAGCGGGGGAUAACUACGCGAAAGCGUGCCAAUACUGCAUACGCCCUUCGGGGGAAAGCGGGGGACCUUCGGGCCUCGCACUAUUAGAGCGGCCGAUAUCGGAUUAGCUAGGUUGGUGGGGUAACGGCUCACCAAGGCGACGAUCCGUAGCUGGUUUGAGAGGACGACCAGCCACACUGGGACUGAGACACGGCCCAGACUCCUACGGGAGGCAGCAGUGGGGAAUUUUGGGAUGGGGGGAAACCCUGAUCCAGCCAUCCCCGCGUGUGCGAUGAAGGCCUUCGGGUUGUGAAGCACUUUUGGCAGGAAAGAAACGGCACGGGAUAAUACCCCGUGCAACUGACGGUACCUGCAGAAUAAGCACCGGCUAACUACGUGCCAGCAGCCGCGGUAAUGGUGGGUGCAAGCGUUAAUCGGAAUUACUGGGCGUAAAGCGUGCGCAGGCGGUUCGGAAAGAAAGAUGUGAAAUCCCCAGAGCUUAACUUUGGAACUGCAUUUUUAACUACCGAGCUAGAGUGUGUCAGAGGGAGGUGGAAUUCCGCGUGCAGUGAAAUGCGUAGACAUGCGGAGGAACACCGAUGGCGAAGGCAGCCUCCUGGGAUAACACUGACGCUCAUGCACGAAAGCGUGGGGAGCAAACAGGAUUAGAUACCCUGGUAGUCCACGCCCUAAACGAUGUCAACUAGCUGUUGGGGCCUUCGGGCCUGGUAGCGCAGCUAACGCGUGAAGUUGACCGCCUGGGGAGUACGGUCGCAAGAUUAAAACUCAAAGGAAUUGACGGGGACCCGCACAAGCGGUGUGGAUGAUGUGGAUUAAUUGAUGCAACGCGAAAAACCUUACCUACCCUUGACAUGUUCGGAAUCCCGAAGAGAUUUGGGAGUGCUCGCAAGAGAACCGAACACAGGUGCUGCAUGGCUGUCGUCAGCUCGUGUCGUGAGAUGCCGUUGGGUUAAGUCCCGCAACGAGCGCAAACUCCCUUGUCAUUAGUUGCUACGAAAGGGCACCCCAUCGAGACUGCCGGUGACAAACCGGAGGAAGGUGGGAUGACGUCAAGUCCUCAUGGCCCUUAUGGGUAGGGCUUCACACGUCAUACAAUGGUCGGGACAGAGGGUCGCCAACCCGCGAGGGGGAGCCAAUCCCAGAAACCCGAUCGUAGUCCGGAUCGCAGUCUGCAACUCGACUGCGUGAAGUCGGAAUCGCUAGUAAUCGCGGAUCAGCAUGUCGCGGUGAAUACGUUCCCGGUCUUGUACACACCGCCCGUCAGCACCAUGGGAGUGGGUUUUACCAGAAGUAGUUAGCCUAACCGUAAGGAGGGCGAUUACCACGGUAGGAUUCAUGACUGGGGUGAAGUCGUAACAAGGUAG